ACGCUGGUAGCGCAGUGGUCAGCACGCGCCCCUUGAAAAGUGAAAUGCGGGUUCGAAUCUCGCUUGGCGUU